CUAGGAGGUGCUCUGGCCCGCCCAGACCGGAUCCCUUUCCUAAAUUCUGCUUGUGAGGCACCCCCAGCAGUACUCUUGGAAGUACAAGGCACUUUACAGAGGCCUCUGGGCCGGGACAGCCGAAGCUCCCCUGCCAACUGCACCUGGGUUAUUCUGGGCAGCAAGGAACAGACGGUAACUGUCAGGUGAGGAAUAAGGCAAGUGCCCAUUUCUCUCCACUGUCCCUUCCCUCUCCCUCUGAAAAAGCCUUUGAUCGCUUCUCUGUGCUAUUUCCAUCCUGGUCAGCAGAAGAGAAUUUGGUCUGGCUGGGUCUGCUGUAAAGGCUUGGUUUCUAGGCCAGAGAUGGUAAAUGGAAGCUGAGUUGUGGUGGAUAUUUAGCUUGA
rnacentral:lncRNA from 1 species